rnacentral:rRNA from 1 species
CAGCAGCCGCGGUAAAACGUAGGGUGCAAGCGUUAAUCGGAAUUACUGGGCGUAAAGCGUGCGCAGGCGGUUUUGUAAGACAGAGGUGAAAUCCCCGGGCUCAACCUGGGAACUGCCUUUGUGACUGCAAGGCUAGAGUACGGCAGAGGGGGAUGGAAUUCCGCGUGUAGCAGUGAAAUGCGUAGAUAUGCGGAGGAACACCGAUGGCGAAGGCAAUCCCCUGGGCCUGUACUGACGCUCAUGCACGAAAGCGUGGGGAGCAAACAGGAUUAGAUACCCGGGUAGUCCCUGUCUCUUAUAC